AAAUUGAAGAGUUUGAUCAUGGCUCAGAUUGAACGCUGGCGGCAGGCCUAACACAUGCAAGUCGAGCGGUAGCACAGAGAGCUUGCUCUCGGGUGACGAGCGGCGGACGGGUGAGUAAUGUCUGGGAAACUGCCUGAUGGAGGGGGAUAACUACUGGAAACGGUAGCUAAUACCGCAUAACGUCGCAAGACCAAAGUGGGGGACCUUCGGGCCUCAUGCCAUCAGAUGUGCCCAGAUGGGAUUAGCUGGUAGGUGGGGUAACGGCUCACCUAGGCGACGAUCCCUAGCUGGUCUGAGAGGAUGACCAGCCACACUGGAACUGAGACACGGUCCAGACUCCUACGGGAGGCAGCAGUGGGGAAUAUUGCACAAUGGGCGCAAGCCUGAUGCAGCCAUGCCGCGUGUGUGAAGAAGGCCUUCGGGUUGUAAAGCACUUUCAGCGGGGAGGAAGGCGAUAAGGUUAAUAACCUUGUCGAUUGACGUUACCCGCAGAAGAAGCACCGGCUAACUCCGUGCCAGCAGCCGCGGUAAUACGGAGGGUGCAAGCGUUAAUCGGAAUUACUGGGCGUAAAGCGCACGCAGGCGGUCUGUCAAGUCGGAUGUGAAAUCCCCGGGCUCAACCUGGGAACUGCAUUCGAAACUGGCAGGCUAGAGUCUUGUAGAGGGGGGUAGAAUUCCAGGUGUAGCGGUGAAAUGCGUAGAGAUCUGGAGGAAUACCGGUGGCGAAGGCGGCCCCCUGGACAAAGACUGACGCUCAGGUGCGAAAGCGUGGGGAGCAAACAGGAUUAGAUACCCUGGUAGUCCACGCUGUAAACGAUGUCGAUUUGGAGGUUGUGCCCUUGAGGCGUGGCUUCCGGAGCUAACGCGUUAAAUCGACCGCCUGGGGAGUACGGCCGCAAGGUUAAAACUCAAAUGAAUUGACGGGGGCCCGCACAAGCGGUGGAGCAUGUGGUUUAAUUCGAUGCAACGCGAAGAACCUUACCUGGUCUUGACAUCCACAGAACUUUCCAGAGAUGGAUUGGUGCCUUCGGGAACUGUGAGACAGGUGCUGCAUGGCUGUCGUCAGCUCGUGUUGUGAAAUGUUGGGUUAAGUCCCGCAACGAGCGCAACCCUUAUCCUUUGUUGCCAGCGGUUAGGCCGGGAACUCAAAGGAGACUGCCAGUGAUAAACUGGAGGAAGGUGGGGAUGACGUCAAGUCAUCAUGGCCCUUACGACCAGGGCUACACACGUGCUACAAUGGCAUAUACAAAGAGAAGCGACCUCGCGAGAGCAAGCGGACCUCAUAAAGUAUGUCGUAGUCCGGAUUGGAGUCUGCAACUCGACUCCAUGAAGUCGGAAUCGCUAGUAAUCGUAGAUCAGAAUGCUACGGUGAAUACGUUCCCGGGCCUUGUACACACCGCCCGUCACACCAUGGGAGUGGGUUGCAAAAGAAGUAGGUAGCUUAACCUUCGGGAGGGCGCUUACCACUUUGUGAUUCAUGACUGGGGUGAAGUCGUAACAAGGUAACCGUAGGGGAACCUGCGGUUGGAUCACCUCCUUACCUUAAAGAA
rnacentral:rRNA from 1 species